AGCAGCCGCGGUAAUUCCAGCUCCAAUAGCGUAUAUUAAAGUUGUUGCAGUUAAAAAGCUCGUAGUUGAAUUUCGGGAUUUAUCCGUCGGUCGGGCUUUUGGGUCUGUACUGGCGUGAUGGAUUCCUACCUUCUGAAUAACCGGCAUGUCAUUAAUUUGGUGCGCUGGGGAAGCAGGACUGUUACCUUGAAAAAUUAGAGUGCUUAAAGCAGGCUAUUGCCUGAAUACAUUAGCAUGGAAUAAUGAAAUAGGACGGCAUGGUUCUAUUUUGUUGGUUUCUAGGAUCACCGUAAUGAUUAAUAGGGAUAGUUGGGGGCAUUAGUAUUCAAUUGUCAGAGGUGAAAUUCUUGGAUUUAUUGAAGACUAACUUCUGCGAAAGCAUUUGCCAAGGAUGUUUUCAUUAAUCAAGAACGAAAGUUAGGGGAUCGAAGACGAUCAGAUACCGUCGUAGUCUUAACCAUAAACUAUGCCGACUAGGGAUCGGACG
rnacentral:rRNA from 1 species